rnacentral:rRNA from 1 species
UGGGGAAUUUUGGACAAUGGGCGAAAGCCUGAUCCAGCAAUGCCGCGUGUGUGAAGAAGGCCUUCGGGUUGUAAAGCACUUUUGUCCGGAAAGAAAUCCUCUGGGUUAAUACCUCGGGGGGAUGACGGUACCGGAAGAAUAAGCACCGGCUAACUACGUGCCAGCAGCCGCGGUAAUACGUAGGGUGCAAGCGUUAAUCGGAAUUACUGGGCGUAAAGCGUGCGCAGGCGGUUUUGUAAGACGGAUGUGAAAUCCCCGGGCUUAACCUGGGAACUGCAUUCGUGACUGCAAGGCUAGAGUAUGGCAGAGGGGGGUAGAAUUCCACGUGUAGCAGUGAAAUGCGUAGAGAUGUGGAGGAAUACCGAUGGCGAAGGCAGCCCCCUGGGCCAAUACUGACGCUCAUGCACGAAAGCGUGGGGAGCAAACAGGAUUAGAUACCCUGGUAGUCCACGCCCUAAACGAUGUCAACUAGUUGUUGGGGAUUCAUUUCCUAGUAACGUAGCUAACGCGUGAAGUUGACCGCCUGGGGAGUACGGUCGCAAGAUUAAAACUCAAAUGAAUUGACGGGGUCAUAGCUGUUUCCU